CCUACGGGAGGCACCAGUAGGGAAUCUUCGGCAAUGGACGAAAGUCUGACCGAGCAACGCCGCGUGAGUGAAGAAGGUCUUCGGAUCGUAAAACUCUGUUGUUAGAGAAGAACAAGUAAGAGAGUAACUGCUCUUACCUUGACGGUAUCUAACCAGAAAGCCACGGCUAACUACGUGACGGCAGCCGCGGUAAUACGUAGGUGGCAAGCGUUGUCCGGAUUUAUUGGGCGUAAAGCGAGCGCAGGCGGUCUUUUAAGUCUGAUGUGAAAGCCCUCGGCUCAACCGAGGAAGGUCAUUGGAAACUGGAGGACUUGAGUGCAGAAGAGGAGAGUGGAAUUCCAUGUGUAGCGGUGAAAUGCGUAGAUAUAAGGAGGAACACCAGUGGCGAAGGCGACUCUCUGAUCUGUAACUGACGCUGAGGCUCGAAAGCGUGGGGAGCAAACAGGAUUAGAUACCCGCGUAGUC
rnacentral:rRNA from 1 species